rnacentral:tRNA from 3 species
GCCGAUGUAGCUCAGCCGGUAGAGCAACUGAUUCGUAAUCAGUAGGUCACCAGUUCGAAUCUGGUCAUCGGCUCCA